CCAGACUCCUACGGGAGGCAGCAGUGGGGAAUAUUGGACAAUGGGGGGAACCCUGAUCCAGCGACGCCGCGUGAGUGAAGAAGUAUUUCGGUAUGUAAAGCUCUAUCAGCAGGGAAGAAAGAAAUGACGGUACCUGACUAAGAAGCCCCGGCUAACUACGUGCCAGCAGCCGCGGUAAUACGUAGGGGGCAAGCGUUAUCCGGAUUUACUGGGUGUAAAGGGAGCGUAGACGGCGAUGCAAGCCAGAUGUGAAAGCCCGGGGCUCAACCCCGGGACUGCAUUUGGAACUGUGUGGCUGGAGUGUCGGAGAGGCAGGCGGAAUUCCUAGUGUAGCGGUGAAAUGCGUAGAUAUUAGGAGGAACACCAGUGGCGAAGGCGGCCUGCUGGACGAUGACUGACGUUGAGGCUCGAAAGCGUGGGGAGCAAACAGGAUUAGAUACCCUGGUAC
rnacentral:rRNA from 1 species